GGCAGUUCUCAAGUGACGCACCCUGGAACUGGGCUCCCUCCUCUCUGGUUCUGGAUACAUCAUCCAAGAACCACA
rfam:Myotis davidii contig321341, whole genome shotgun sequence.